CCUAAAGUAGAGAGGUGCAAGAAUAUUUUUUUGGGCCUCCUUAUUGCAAGGAUGUUUAAAAGGUAGAUCCCCAUCUGUCGUGCAACUCCAGCAAUGCCUUGACAGCUGGGGCUCUACCAUUUACCCAUGUUUGCAGGUUUGUAUUUAGCACUAAGCAGUUUUUGUGUGUUUCAAUGUAAACAGGUUUUUGUAUGGAAUAUGUUUGUAUGUGGUGUUGGCGUUUGAAUGCAAGAAUG